GUGGGGAAUAUUGGGCAAUGGGCGCAAGCCUGACCCAGCAACGCCGCGUGAAGGAAGAAGGCUUUCGGGUUGUAAACUUCUUUUACCAGGGACGAAACAAAUGACGGUACCUGGUGAAUAAGCCACGGCUAACUAAGUGCUAGCAGCCGCGGUAAUACGUAGGUGGAGAGCGUUAUACGGAUUUAUUGGGUGUAAAGGGCGUGUAGGCGGGAGAGCAAGUCAGAUGGGAAUACCAGAGGCUCAACCUCUGGCCUGCAUUUGAAUCUGUUGUUCUUGAGUGUCGGAGAGGUAAUCGGAAUUCCGUGUGUAUCGGUGCAAUUCGUAAAUAUACGGAGGAACACCAGUUGCGAAGGCGGAUUACUGGACGAUAACUGUCGCUGAGGCGCGAAAGCGUGGGGAGCAAACAGGAUUAGAUACCCGGUUAGUCC
rnacentral:rRNA from 1 species